AACGAACGCUGGCGGCAGGCCUAACACAUGCAAGUCGAGCGAGGACUCCGGUCCUAGCGGCGGACGGGGGAGUAACGCGUGGGAACGUGCCCUUUGCUUCGGAAUAGCCCUUGGAAACUGGGAGUAAUACCGGAUGAGCCCUGCGGGGGAAAGAUUUAUCGGGCAAGGGUCGGCCCGCGUUGGCUUAGGUGGUUGGUGGGGUAAUGGCCUACCAAGCCGUCGUUCCAUAGCUGGUUUGAGAGGAUGAUCAGCCACACUGGGACUGAGACCCGGCCCAGACUACUACGGGAGGCAGGAGUGGGUAAUCUUAGCCAAUGGGGGAAGCCCUGAUCUAGCCAUGCCGGGUGAGCCAUGAUGGCCGUAGGGUUGUGAAGCUGUUUCAGCCGGGAAGAUAAUGACGGUACCAGCAGAAGAAGCCCCGGCUAACUCCGUG
rnacentral:rRNA from 1 species